ACAGCACCACAACAUGUAUGCUCGUGCUCGCUGUCGCCGCAGGGGAACCCGGUGCGAACCCGGGACUGUCCCGCAACGGUGUGCGGUGCCCCGCCCCGCUCUGCCGGGAGCCGGCAACGGCUGUGGGCGCGCCGCGAGUCCGAGCACCUGCCGACGGCGUCGUACACGU
rnacentral:ncRNA from 2 species